GGACGAACGCUGGCGGCGUGCUUAACACAUGCAAGUCGAGCGGUAAGGCCCUUUCGGGGGUACACGAGCGGCGAACGGGUGAGUAACACGUGGGUGACCUGCCCUCAGCUCUGGGAUAAGCCUGGGAAACCGGGUCUAAUACUGGAUAUGACUCCAUGACGCAUGUUGUGGGGUGGAAAGCCUUGUGCGGCUGAGGAUGGGCCCGCGGCCUAUCAGCUUGUUGGUGGGGUGAGGCCUACCAAGGCGACGACGGGUAGCCGGCCUGAGAGGGCGACCGGCCACACUGGGACUGAGACACGGCCCAGACUCCUACGGGAGGCAGCAGUGGGGAAUCUUGCGCAAUGGGCGAAAGCCUGACGCAGCGACGCCGCGUGAGGGAUGACGGCCUGGUUGUAAC
rnacentral:rRNA from 1 species